rnacentral:rRNA from 1 species
UACGUAGGGGGCAAGCGUUGUCCGGAUUUAUUGGGCGUAAAGAGCGUGUAGGCGGCUUUACAGGUCCGUUGUGAAAACUCGAGGCUCAACCUCGAGACGCCGAUGGAAACCGUCUGGCUAGAGUCCGGAAGAGGAGAGUGGAAUUCCCAGUGUAGAGGUGAAAUUCGUAGAUAUUGGGAAGAACACCGGUGGCGAAGGCGGCGACCUGGUCCGUGACUGACGCUGAGGCGCGAAAGCGUGGGGAGCAAACAGG